UGUCCCACUCCACUUGAAUCAUUCCGGUCCAGAGUGUCCGCUCUGUGCACGUCCUGUCUUCAGUCACCUGGGAGCCAGCCUGGCUAGCACACCACCUGGUACAGCACAACAAUGCUUUUGUCCAGCGGUAACCAAAAGCCCUUAACAAAAGCCCAGAAGGACAAGAGUAGCGUGAUGCUGCCAACUUGGGAAGGCUAAAGAAGGCACACUGCACUUCUUGGAUGUCCAGAUCCUUAAGUCUAGGACCUACUACUAUAAUCCAAGGAUGUGAAGAUCUGCUCCUGGCAGUACCAAUCUACUUCAGAGAAGAUGAUGGACAUCAAAGAAACUUCACAUGGAGUUUACUGUCUUUGUGGCAAAAAAUACAGUGACACCAGUGAACUCUACUUCAUCACCAGCAUCUUCCUCUAUAAGUCUCCUCAUCCCUACCUACCUCUCCUCAUCAGGCCAGAAGCUUGCAAACUACUAAUUAGGUAAGUUCACUCUGUUUCGCUAUGCUAUCUACAACUUUUAAAGCCCAGGAAAACCUCCAGCACCACUUUCCUUCCCCAAUCUGUAAGUCACACCUGACUCCUUUUGAAGUCCCUCUAGAACAUUCUCCAAGCCCCCUUCCCAAUCACUUCUGAAUUGCCUUCCAGAUUUUAGAUAGAACAGGACCUGUUACCACUAACAGGUCAAUAAACAGACCUGAACCAACAUAAAUCUCUCCCUCUCCCCCUGGAGAAAGGGUCUUCCUAUGUAAUCCUGGAUGUACUGGAACCUUCUAUGACGAUCAGGCUGGUCUCAAACUCACAGGGAUCCUGUUGCCUAUGUCCUGAGGACAUAUGCCACCAUGUUAGGCUUUCGUUUUAUUUUGUAACUUAUAUAAGUUCAAGACAGCAGACACUAUCAAGUCUUUCUAUAGCUAAUAUUAUAUAAUUGAUCAUCAGGUAAUCUUUUGGUCAUUUUUGUUAAUAGUGGCAAAAUAUACUUAACCCAACAGUUGCCUUUGUAACCAGUUUUAAGUACAAUUCAGUGGUAUAGAAACAGUAGUCAUUGUGGAAACAUCACCACUGUCCAUCUCCAGAAUUUUUUGUCAUCAAAUACUGAAACUCUAUACCCAUUGCUCUUUAAGAAUUCCCCAAUUCCUCCCUCCAAGGAAUGUAACUACUUUUCUACUUUCUGUCAAUUAUUUUUAACCAAUUAGUUUUAAUAGAUGAUCACUCUUCUGGCUGUCUCACUUAAACAAUAUAAGCUAAUGUUUAUUAACUUUAAGUGUCGGGUCCUCCAUGCUCUGCUUUAGGAGUUACACAUGUAAUUAACGUAACCUUAACAACCAUUCUAGCAGCAGGCAGUGUGAUUUCUCCAUUUGUUACAUGAUGAAAUGGGUACAAAGAGCUCAUGUAACCUGCCAAAGAUCACACAGCUGGUGAAUCACACAGCCAAGAAUCACCUCCAUGAAGCCUCUCUAAAAGACCCAUGUUUACACUGCGUUCACAGGUACUAUACAGUAAUUUCAGUAACUUGGUACCUUGUUUUGUUGUCAAAUGGUAAAUCACAUAUAAGCAAAAUCUUUGUUAGUUUACAACAAUUAUAAUACAUUCUAAGUACCUCACACUGCUAUACUGAUUAUUCAGAAAAUUCACUUUUCCAAAUGAAUAGCAUAUUAACAAUGGAAACAAAGCUACUCACAAAUAGAAAGUAAGUUCCAUCAUAAGACAAGUUUUACCAGACUACACAAACUGGAUCCUUGGCCUACUCCCCAAGAAUAGGUGGGAGACACUCUAAUCAAGAGACAAAGAGUUUCCUAAGAAUGGACAGGUUCUAAAGACGUUUCUCAAGACCUUGA